rnacentral:rRNA from 1 species
GACGAACGCUGGCGGCGUGCUUAACACAUGCAAGUCGAACGGAAAGGCCCUGCUUUUGUGGGGUGCUCGAGUGGCGAACGGGUGAGUAACACGUGAGUAACCUGCCCUUGACUUUGGGAUAAAUUCUGGAAACUGGGGCUAAUACCGGAUAGGAGCUCCUGCUGCAUGGUGGGGGUUGGAAAGUUUCGGCGGUUGGGGAUGGAAUGGCGGCUUAUCAGCUUGUUGGUGGGGUAGUGGCUGACCAAGGCUUUGAAGGCUAGCCGGCCUGAGAGGGUGACCGGCCACAUUGGGACUGCGAUACGGCCCAGACUCCUACGGGAGGCAGCAGUGGGGAAUAUUGCACAAUGGGCGGAAGCCUGAUGCAGCAACGCCGCGUGCGGGAUGACGGCCUUCGGGUUGUAAACCGCUUUCGCCUGUGACGAAGCGUGAGUGACGGUAAUGGGUAAAGAAGCACCGGCUAACUACGUG